rnacentral:misc_RNA from 1 species
AAGUCGUAACAAGGUUUCCGUAGGUGAACCUGCGGAAGGAUCAUUACAGAAUAUUAAAUUCGGGGUAAGGGGCCUCGGCCUUUGUUCCCGUCUUUAAAAUCCAUUCACCCUUGUGAACCAUUGCGUGGGUCAUUAGGGGCCCUUCGGGGCCUCGAAGGCUCGCGAUUUUACAUACACCUUUGAAAGUCCCAGAAUGUACGAUAGCGUUAAUCGCGAACAAUACAA